CAGCCGCCGCGGGAAUACGAAGGGGGCUAGCGUUGCUCGGAAUGACUGGGCGUAAAGGGCGCGUAGGCGGAAUGCUUUGUCGGGCGUGAAAUUCCAGGGCUUAACCUUGGGGCUGCGUUCGAGACGGGUAUUCUAGAGCGGAGAAGAGGGUCGUGGAAUUCCCAGUGUAGAGGUGAAAUUCGUAGAUAUUCGGAAGAACACCAGUGGCGAAGGCGACUGACUGGACAAGUAUUGACGCUGAGGUGCGAAAGCGUGGGGAGCAAACAGGAUUAGAUACCCCAGUAGUCCCUGUCUCUUAUAC
rnacentral:rRNA from 1 species